GGAUGGAAAGCCUAGCUUUAAAAAGCUUCAGUACUCAGGCUAAAAUCAUUGGCACUGUGUUGUCAAUAUCAGGAGCACUAGUGGUAGUUCUUUAUAAAGGCUCUGCAAUUUUAUCUAUUGCAGCUCCAACACCAUCUAUUUCAAUCCAGAAACCUCAGGGAUCAUCGGAAUCAAAGUGGGUCAUUGGUGGCCUCUUACUUGCCACUGAUUCUUGUCUCGUCUCCAUUUGGUAUAUAAUUCAGGUGCGUGCCUUGAUUAAAGAUUUCUUAAAACGCCACUUUCAGUGUUCACAAUACAGUAAAUUCAGGAGUUCAAACUCUAGUAUUGUCCUCCUUUUCUGAUGUAAAAUAAAUCUUUGAAAAUCCAGCAUAAAAUUAGUUUCAAUGUCUGCAUUUAUUGAAUUCAUUAAUACCAUGUUACAGGCACAAGUAAUGAAGAUAUACCCUGCAGAGUUGAUUGUAUCCUUCUACAUCAACUCGAGUGCAGCCAUUAUAUCUGCACCAAUAUGUCUUAUAGCAGAAGCAAAUUUGAGUGCUUGGAGACUAGAACCUGGAGUAUCAGUAGUUGCAGUUAUAUUCUCGGUAUGUACAGAAGGUCAAGUACAUAACUUGUAGUGCAACAGGUUAGGAUUUUAAACAGCCUAGUACUGGUUUCUAACUUCAGAUUGUGUCUGUUGCAGGGACUUUUCUGCUCACCCUUGAACUCUAUUAUUCUCGCAUGGAGUCUAAGAUCAAAAGGGCCAGUCUAUGUAGCAAUAUUCAGUCCCCUAUCAAUUGCCAUUACAGCAAUUGUGAGCCUCAUAUUUC
rnacentral:misc_RNA from 1 species